AGUGAACGCUGGCGGUAUGCUUAACACAUGCAAGUCGAACGGAAAAAUUUAAAGUAGCAAUACCUUAAAUUUUUUAGUGGCGAACGGGUGAGUAAUAUAUAGGAAUCUACCCAGUAGCGGGGAAUAACUACCAGAAAUGGUAAUUAAUACCGCAUACGCCCGAAAGGGGAAAGGAGAAAUCCACUAUUGGAUGAGCCUAUAUCCGAUUAGCUAGUUGGUAGGGUAAGAGCCUACCAAGGCAAAGAUCGGUAGCCGGUCUGAGAGGAUGGCCGGCCACAUUGGGACUGAGACACGGCCCAGACUCCUACGGGAGGCAGCAGUGGGGAAUAUUGGACAAUGGGCGAAAGCCUGAUCCAGCAAUACCGCGUGAGUGAUGAAGGUCGCAAGAUUGUAAAACUCUUUUAUCGGGGAAGAUUAUGACGGUACCCGAAGAAUAAGGACUGACUAACUUCGUGCCAGCCGCCGCAGUAA
rnacentral:rRNA from 1 species